UGACAGUACUCCUACGGGGAGGCAGCAGUGGGGGAAUAUUGCACAAUGGGCGCAAGCCUGAUGCAGCCAUGCCGCGUGUGUGAAGAAGGCCUUCGGGUUGUAAAGCACUUUCAGUCGUGAGGAAGGUAGUGUAGUUAAUAGCUGCAUUAUUUGACGUUAGCGACAGAAGAAGCACCGGCUAACUCCGUGCCAGCAGCCGCGGUAAUACGGAGGGUGCGAGCGUUAAUCGGAAUUACUGGGCGUAAAGCGCAUGCAGGUGGUUUGUUAAGUCAGAUGUGAAAGCCCGGGGCUCAACCUCGGAAUAGCAUUUGUAAACUGGCAGACUAGAGUACUGUAGAGGGGGGUAGGAAUUUCAGGUGUAGCGGUGAAAUGCGUAGAGAUCUGAAGGAAUACCGGUGGCGAAGGCGGCCCCCUGGACAGAUACUGACACUCAGAUGCGAAAGCGUGGGGAGCAAACAGGAUUAGAUACCCUGGUAG
rnacentral:rRNA from 1 species